rnacentral:lncRNA from 10 species
AGAUGCCAUGAGUCCAAAGGAAUCAUCCCGCCCCCAGCAGACAAGCGUGGAGCCAGCCUGCUCCUCUGGCCAAAGCAUUCCACCCCCGGACCUCUCCUCCAGGAAGAAGAGAUGUGGAAGAAGAGAUGUGGGUAUGGUGGAUUCUGACCCUUGGCUCCCCAAAGUUCCACAGAGCCCAGCUCCCACUGAAGGCAUAUGACCCAGAUCCUGAGAACCAGAUGCACCGGCCUGAGCUUUCGUCAGAAGCAAGGACACACAGAACCUUUCUUAGAGGCAUCAUUAGAGGACCGGACAUGGUGGCCAGAGGCUGCAGGGACAGAAGUCCCAGGGCCAUGUCCAGGAACUGGGCUCAGGGGACCUCCUGGUGCCACCUGCAUAUCUGAGCCCAUGGAGUUCCUCUGGUCUAUUCAGUUCUCUCAUUUUAACUUAAUUUUGUUUUUGUAGGCUUUCUUAAAAAAUUGCCCAGUUCAUUUACCUGAUCACGUUUAUUGUUCAGAGUUGAGUGUGGUUCUCUCGUAAUUAUUUAGUCUCCACUGGGUCUGUGAUUAUAUUUCCUUUCUUAUUGCUAAUGCUGUUUGUGUUUGAUUUUCUUCUUUUUUUUCUUGGCCUGACUUAAAGAGGUUUGUCUGUUUUAUCUUUAUUUUAAAAAUAACCAACUGUUUAUUUUUACUUCUCCACUGUGAUUUCCCCCUUUAUUUCUUUAAUGUUUGAGUUUAUAUUUUUUCCUAUUUAUUUUGGCUUAAAUUUUAUUAUCAUUUUGCUAUAUCCUUGUGUCAAGCGCUUAAUUCAAUUAUUUUGUUAUUUUGACUUCUAAAAAAUCAGUUAAUUCUAUAAGUUUUCCUCUAUGUACUACAUUGAGCAAACUCCACAGAUUUCUGUAGGGGGCAUACUAAUUGUAAUUCAAUUUCGUUUUCCAUGUGUAGGUCCAGAUUUAUUUGAAUGUCCAAAUACUUAGAAUUGUAGGCUCUUGUUUUGUUAUUAAAGUCUGGUUUUAUUACAUUGUGUUUAGAGAAAAUAAUAUGGAGGAUUUUAAUUUUAGAUAAAGCAUUAAUAUCUUUUUUAUCCUCAAACAUGAUCAAUUUUUGACAGUGUUCCAAAAAUAUACUAUGAAAUAUAUAUUA